rnacentral:piRNA from 1 species
UGACCACUGAUGACUGCGGCUGUCUCGA